UACGUAGGGACCAAGCGUUGUUCGGAUUUACUGGGCGUAAAGGGCGCGUAGGCGGCGCGGUAAGUCACUUGUGAAAUCUCUGAGCUUAACUCAGAACGGCCAGGUGAUACUGCAGUGCUAGAGUGUGGAAGGGGCAAUCGGAAUUCUUGGUGUAGCGGUGAAAUGCGUAGAUAUCAAGAGGAACACCUGAGGUGAAGACGGGUUGCUGGGCCAACACUGACGCUGAGGCGCGAAAGCCAGGGGAGCAAACGGG
rnacentral:rRNA from 1 species